CGCUCUCAGCGAGUCCCCUCAGAAGCGCAUGCUCGUGGGCUCGCGCAUGCACGAGCCUUUCGUGCGUGCACGAGCCUCUCGUGCCAAGGUGCGCGCGUGCAGCGUCCGAGGCGGUUGGUAUCCGAGAGUCGAUGAAGCGUGAUUCGAGGCAAUUAUUUCCAGUCAGAGAAGGAAACCAGAGCCUGGCAUUCUCACCAGCUUUUCACCUGCCAUGAUCAAGUGCUUGUCAGUUGAAGUUCAAGCCAAAUUGCGUUCUGGUUUGGCCAUAAACUCCUUAGGCCAAUGUGUUGAGGAACUUGCCCUCAACAGUAUUGAUGCUGAAGCAAAAUGUGUGGCUGUCAGGGUGAACAUGGAAACCUUCCAAGUUCAAGUGAUAGACAAUGGAUUUGGCAUGGGGAGUGAUGAUGUGGACAAGGUGGGAAAUCGUUAUUUCACUAGUAAAUGCAGCUCAGUACAGGACUUGGAGAAUCCCAGGUUUUAUGGUUUCCGAGGGGAGGCCUUGGCAAGCAUAGCUGACAUGGCCAGUGCUGUGGAAAUUUCGUCCAAGAAAAACAGGACAACGAAAACCUUUGUGAAAUUGUUUCAGAAUGGAAAAGCCCUGAAAGCUUGUGAAGCUGAUUUGAGUAGACCAAGUGCUGGGACAACAGUAACAGUAUAUAACUUGUUUUACCAGUUACCUGUAAGAAGGAAAUGCAUGGAUCCUAGACUGGAGUUCGAGAAAGUCAGGCAAAGGGUAGAAGCGCUCUCACUCAUGCACCCUUCCAUUUCUUUCUCUUUGAGAAAUGAUGUUUCUGGUUCCAUGGUUCUUCAGCUCCCUAAAACCAAAGACGUCUGUUCCCGAUUUUGUCAGAUUUAUGGUUUGGGGAAGUCCCAAAAGUUAAGAGAAAUAAAUUUUAAAUAUAAGGAGUUUGAGCUUAGUGGCUAUAUCAGCUCCGAAGCACAUUACAAUAAGAAUAUGCAGUUUUUAUUUGUGAACAAAAGACUAGUUUUAAAGACAAAGUUGCAUAAACUCAUUGACUUUUUAUUAAGGAGAGAAAGUAGUAUAUGCAAGCCAAAGAAUGGCCCUGCCAGUAGGCAAAUGAAUUCAAGUCCUCGGCAUCGUUCUACCCCAGAACUCUAUGGGAUAUAUGUAAUCAAUGUGCAGUGCCAAUUCUGUGAGUAUGAUGUGUGCAUGGAGCCAGCAAAAACUCUGAUUGAGUUUCAAAACUGGGAUACACUCUUGAUUUGCAUUCAGGAAGGAGUGAAAAUGUUUUUAAAGCGAGAAAAAUUAUUUGUAGAAUUAUCAGGUGAGGACAUUAAGGAAUUUAGUGAACAUAAUGAUUUUAGUUUAUUUGGUGCUGCUCUUCAGAAGCAUAUAUCUUCUGAUGAGAAGCAUGACCAGGGCAGUUUCCAGGAAGCGUGUAAUAACAUUUUGGAUUCCUAUGAGAUGUGCAAUUUGCAAUCAAAAGCUGUGAAAAGAAAAGCUACUAUAGAAAGCAUAAACACACAGAACUCUAGGGAUUCAGAAGCUAUCAGAAAAGAUACAAACAAUUCAUUUUUGUAUACUUAUGAAUCAGAUGGCCAAGGCCAUAGUAAAAGGACAGAGUCAUCUACACAAAACAAAGAUAGCUCUUGCUCAGACUCAAGGAUGUUAGAACAAGAGACAAUUGAAGCAACAGAACCAGGAGGAAAUGAGAAACAUAAAAAAUCUUGCUUAGAACAUAACUCUUUAGAAAAUCCAUGUGGGACCAGUGCAGAAAUGUUUCCAAGCCCUUUUCAGACACCACAUCACUUUGAGGAGAGUGGAAUGGAUCGAGAAAUACAGAAAGUAAGUACUACUGUUAGUGGCAUAGCUACUAACAUCUUCAAAAAUAAUAGAAUUCAGAAUCCACUAGAGAGAUUUAAAGAUACCACUGAAAUGGGAUGCCAACCUCUGCCUUUUGAAACAGCAUCACUGAGAGUACAUAGUGCUCAGAUAGAGAAAGAGAAAAGAAAAAAAGAACCUAGUCACUGUGGAAGAAUAAACGUUUUUAGUUAUGGACAAGUUAAAUUAUGUUCCACUGGCUUUAUAACUCAUGUGGUACAAAAUGAGCAAACUAAAUCAACUGAAACAGAGCACUCAUUUAAAAAUUAUGUUCGACCUGGUCCCACAAGUGCCCAAGAAGCAUUUGGAAAUAGAACACGUCAUUCAGUUGAAACUCCAAACAUCAUAGAUUUAGCCAGCACCUUAAGUAAAGAAUCUGCUCAACUGCCCAACAAAAAAUUUUGCAGGACAAAUAUAAGUUAUGGGCUUGAGAAUGAAACUAUAACAACUUCUAAAAAUAUUACUGUUUUUCAGGAAGGUAGUAAAAAAUCACAUACAGGUUGCUUAUUACCUGAUACAUCCUCUGCUUUCCCUUGGCAUAGACAUCUGUCAAAUGGUAGUAAAAGAACAGAUAAAUUGAUUGGUUCCUCCAAACCCAUAGUGCGUAAGAAGCUAAGCUUGAGUUCACAACUAGGAUCUUUAGAGAAGUUUAAGAGGCAAUAUGGAACGGUUAAAAAUCCUCUGGACAUAGAAGUGGAGAAAAAUUAUAUUGAAGUCACUACCAAUCUCAGUCCUCAAGCUGAACCUGAUGUUCCACUGAAAGAUAAAAGCCACUUGGACAACUCUGAUAUUUAUAAAAUCAUUACUGUGGAGCAUAAUGAUUCCAAUAGUUGUCAACCAGUAAGUCACAUGCUUUACUCAGAGAAGUUUCCGUUUUCCAAGGAUGAAGAUUGUUUGGAACAACAGACGCCUCGUUUGAGAGAAAGUCCUGUAACUCUACAGGAGUUAUCUCACUUUGAUAGAAAACUUUUGGAUCUUGAGAAGUUACCUAAUUCACUAGCCUCUAAAUUAUCCAGACUGAAGGGUUCUGAAAAAGAAACUCAAACAGUGGAGGUGACGAGUCAUUUUAAUGAACUUCCAAAUUCAGAUUCCAGUAGGAAAGGUUUGUGCAGUGAAUCAACCCUAGAUUUUUGUAAGUUAUUUAAAAAUGAGCAUAAAAAAACAGAGAGUGGUAUCAUCCCAAUGUCAGAUUCUGUCACACAGGAUAAUUCCUUUAAUACAGAUAGUGAAACAUAUUCUAACAACAAAGCAAAAGAGAACUCUGUGAUUCCAGAAACUCCUUUGGUAUUACCCUAUGAUUCUAAAGUUAUCAGUAAAGAUUCAGAUGUUCUUAUCAGAGCUUCAGAACAACAGAUAGGAAGUCCUGACUCUCCCAGUAGAAUGUUAGUGAGUCAGGUAGAAGAUUCCACGGGCGACCAAAAUGGAAUUUGUUUUCCCAACAAGGAAUCUAAAGCAAGAGCUUGUUCUGAAAAGGAAGAGUCCAACAUGUGUUCUUUGGAUUGGCAGCAGCAUUUUGAUGCAGCCCUGGGAAGAAUGGUUUACAUCAACAAAAGAACUGGACUUAGCACAUUCAUUGCUCCUACUGAGGACGUUGAGACCGCAUGUACUAAAGACCUGACAACUGUAGCUGUGGAUGUCGUACUUGAGAAUGGGUUUCAGUACAGGUGUCAUCCUUUUAGAAGCAACCUUGUUCUUCCUUUCCUUCCAAGAGCGCGGGCAGAGAGGACUGUGAUGAGACAGAAUGACAGAGAUACUGUGGAUGAUGCUGUUGGUAGUGAAUCGCUUCAGUCCUUAUUAUCAGAAUGGGACAAUCCAGUAUUUGCUCGUUAUCCAGAGGUUGCUGUUGAUGUAAGCAGUGGCCAGGCUGAGAGCUUAGCAGUUAAAAUUCACAACAUCUUGUUUCCCUAUCGUUUCACCAAAGAAAUGAUUCAUUCGAUGCAGGUUCUCCAGCAAGUUGACAACAAGUUUAUUGCCUGCAUGAUGAGCACGAAGACUGAAGAGAGUGGCAAGGCAGGUGGAAACCUGCUGGUCUUGGUGGAUCAACACGCCGCGCACGAGCGUGUCCGCUUGGAGCAGCUCAUUAUUGAUUCCUAUGAGAGGCAACAGCCACAAGGCUCUGCUCGGAAAAAAUUACUGUCUUCCACUCUGAUUCCUCCACUGGAGAUAACAGUGACAGAGGAACAAAGGAGACUCUUACGGUGUUACCACAAAAAUCUGGAAGAUCUGGGCCUUGAAUUUAUAUUUCCACACACUAGUGAUUCUCUGGUCCUCGUGGGAAAAGUACCACUCUGUUUUGUAGAAAGAGAAGCCAAUGAACUUCGAAGAGGAAGAUCUACUGUGACCAAGAGCAUUGUGGAAGAAUUUAUUCGAGAACAAGUGGAGCUACUCCAGACCACAGGAGGCAUCCAAGGGACGUUGCCACUGACUGUCCAGAAGGUGCUGGCGUCCCAAGCCUGCCAUGGGGCCAUUAAGUUUAAUGAUGGCCUGAGCCUGGAGGAGAGCUGUCGCCUCAUUGAAGCUCUGUCCUGGUGCCAGCUGCCGUUCCAGUGUGCUCACGGGAGACCUUCCAUGCUGCCGUUAGCAGAUAUAGACCACUUGGAGCAGGAAAAACAGAUUAAACCCAAUCUUGCUAAACUUCGCAAGAUGGUCCAAGCUUGGCAUCUCUUUGGAAAAGCAGGAUGUGAUACAGGGCAGAGCCUGCAGCAGUCCCUGCCUCCCUGUGAGCCACCGUGAGAACAGAAUUACUAAUCUAUGAGGAACGAAAGGGAUGCUAACUGUAUGCCCCAGAGCAGCGAGGAGGAACAGCAGACACUGCUGCAAGAGGGAGGAGGCCAGCCCUUGUGACAGACACCCCGGAUUCCUCUGCUUUGGACCACUAGUUCCUGAACAUGGCAGAUCAUCUGGCCCAGCUGGGCACACUUUUUAGGUAAAAACUAUAAAUUACUGAAGUAAUAUGUAUUUAGAAAAGAAACAGUAUGUAAAUGUAGCAAAACUAGAUGUCUGCUGCUUGCCUGUUUGGUGUUUUUUUUUUGUUUUUUUUUUGUUUU